GAUGAACGCUGACAGAAUGCUUAACACAUGCAAGUCAUUGGCGAAGCUGCGCUUGCGCAGUCUAGCCAAGGCGGACGGGUGAGUAACGCGUAAGGAACUUGCCCUGCAGACAGGGAUAACAGACGGAAACGACUGAUAACACCUGGUAUUGUCAGGCUGGCGCAUGCCGGCCUGAUGAAAGGAGACGCUGCAGGAGAGCCUUGCGUCCUAUUAGCUAGUUGGUGGGGUAACGGCCCACCAAGGCGAUGAUAGGUAGCCGGCCUGAGAGGGUGAACGGCCACAAGGGGACUGAGAUACGGCCCUUACUCCUACGGGAGGCAGCAGUGGGGAAUAUUGGACAAGGGGGGCAACCCUGAUCCAGCAAUUCUGUGUGCACGAAGAAGGUUUUCGGAUUGUAAAGUGCUUUCAGCAGGGAAGAAGAAAGUGACGGUACCUGCAGAAGAAGCGACGGCUAAAUACGUG
rnacentral:rRNA from 1 species